rnacentral:rRNA from 1 species
UACGGGGGGGGCAAGCGUUGUUCGGAAUUACUGGGCGUAAAGGGCUCGUAGGCGGCCAACUAAGUCGGAUGUGGAAUCCCCAGGCUUAACCUGGGAACUGCAUCCGAUACUGGAUGGCUUGAAUCCGGGAGAGGGAUGCAGAAUUCCAGGUGUAGCGGUGAAAUGCGUAGAUAUCUGGAGGAAUACCGGUGGCGAAGGCGGCAUCCUGGACCGGCAUUGACGCUGAUGAGCGAAAGCUAGGGGAGCAAACGGG